rnacentral:miRNA from 1 species
CUUACCCUGUAAUUCGAAGAAGU